AGCAACGCCGCGUGAGUGAUGAAGGGUUUCGGCUCGUAAAACUCUGUUGUUGGAGAAGAACAGGUGAUAGAGUAACUGUUAUCAUCUUGACAGUAUCCAACCAGAAAGCCACGGCUAACUACGUGCCAGCAGCCGCGGUAAUACGUAGGUGGCAAGCGUUGUCCGGAUUUAUUGGGCGUAAAGCGAGCGCAGGCGGUUUUUUAGGUCUGAUGUGAAAGCCUUCGGCUUAACCGGAGAAGGGCAUCGGAAACCGGGAGACUUGAGUGCAGAAGAGGACAGUGGAACUCCAUGUGUAGUGGUGAAAUGCGUAGAUAUAUGGAAGAACACCAGUGGCGAAGGCGGCUGUCUGGUCUGUAACUGACGCUGAGGCUCGAAAGCAUGGGUAGCGAACAGGAUUAGAUACCCUGGUAGUCCAUGCCGUAAACGAUGAGUGCUAAGUGUUGGAGGGUUUCCGCCCUUCAGUGCUGCAGCUAACGCAUUAAGCACUCCGCCUGGGGAGUACGACCGCAAGGUUGAAACUCAAAGGAAUUGACGGGGGCCCGCACAAGCGGCGGAGCAUGUGGUUUAAUUCGAUGCUACGCGAAGAACCUUACCAGGUCUUGACAUCUUCUGCUAACCUAAGAGAUUAGGCGUUCCCUUCGGGGACGGAAUGACAGGUGGUGCAUGG
rnacentral:rRNA from 1 species